ensembl:lncRNA
AUGAGGGUGCUGGGAAGGAGCACCGAGCAGAGCAGAAAGGAGAGGGUAGCUGGGAACGCCGUGCCGCGUGGCUGCAGGCUGCUUCGAGCGGCCGUUCCUCUGCUCGGCCCAAUGUGCAGCUGCUGGCGCGCGCGGCCACCAGGGGGCAGCGUGCCUUGCCUGCGGCCGUUACUCCGCCGCAGCCGCCUCCUAACCGUAGCUAUUUCCGCCCCCGGCCCGCAGCCAGCCGCUGUAAGGCGGUGCCGCGAGGUUUUUCUCCUCGCAGCAGCGCUGAUGGGCGAGAUUGAGACUAGCUGGGCAAAACCAGUCUUGCGAGCAAAGCGUACUUCUCUUUUCAAGCAUUUCUUCACUCUUCUGAGGCUCCUCUUGUGUAACUUGACGCGGCGGUCCAAAGAGUUUUCUGUUUGCAGGCGGCCUCAUUUCAAUCCGCUGACCAGCUCCCAGAAAAAAAAGAGUUUGUGUUCUUUAGGAAGACUGCAGAAAAAUGAAGACCCGGCUAAAAGUACUAUUUGGCGUGGUUGUAUGUGUUUUGCUUUCCUUAUUUCUUAUAUGUAUUGUACUGCUUCCAUCCAAAGGUAAGGCAUUUCUAUCUAAUGUAGCAGAAAACACAAUGUUUUUAGCUUCUUUGGCUUUUAAAGUUCAUAAAAGUUUGUCAAAUCAUCUCUAGGAUUGUCGUGCCUGUACUGUUACGGCUUUAUCACUUUACAGAAAUGUACUGACAGCUGAAAUGUCCUGAAGGUAUGAUCGAAAUGCCAGCAGAUGUUGAAACAAUGAACCCUUUGAAGUGAAAAGCGCCUCAGUUAACUUUACUCAUGACGUAUGACAAUCUUAGACAAGACUGCAGAAAUAGUUCUUAGAUCUCAUAUUAUAUAUAUGUUAGGAGCUAUGAGAGUCUCACAGUCUGUUAAUAGUUUCUUUCAGCUUGGUGAACCUGUAUUUUAAUAAUUAUUAAGGAUCUCUAGACAAUUGCAAGUUAAAUAUUUCUCUGAUGAAAGGAUGUGGUGAAUUGUUUGUGGACAUGUUUAAGAUUGCAUUUGGAAAUUAAAGCCAGCAUUGGAUAAAAUAGGAGUGCAUGGUUUGUUCUAGUAUGAUGCUAGCUGUGAGUAAUUGCUGAUGCACAGAACGAUCUGUUGAGUCCACUGGUAAAGCUUGAAGUGUGUGUGGUUUGAUAUUUAGAGUCUGAAUGGCACUGGCUUUAAUGGGCAUUUUUUUCUGUGAGAAAUCCAGUAAGAGAGAGAUAAGUAUUUAUAUAUCCCUUUCACUACAAUGGAUGAAUUGAAUGCCUCUGAAAUAUUUAAAACAGUAAUAAUUAUAUAUAAAUAUAUAUAUAUAUAUUCCAGUAGCAGCAAUAAUUUCUUUUUUCUAUAAUUAUUCUUUGCCGAUAUGUUGGCAAAUCAGGUUCAGCUUUACCUUUACUUAGUCUUAUAGCUAAUAUUCAACUUUAGUGGAAGGUCAAAUCUCCCUUUCUUACCUGAUAUUUCAUUUUAAUAUAUUUAGCAUGAGUACUUCUGCUGGGGAGGAGUUGGAGAUUUAUAAGGUAGGGCUAAUUCUGUUCUGCAUCAUAUGAACACGAGGAUACAUUGUAUCAUGGCUGGAGGUAGCACUGCAAAGAGAUACCAACCUUAUAGAAUAGAAUCAUAAGUUAAGGUUGGAAAAGGCCUCUAAGAUCAUCUUGUCCAACCAUCUACCUACCACCAAUAUUGCCCUCUAAACCACAUCCCAGGGUACUACAUCUACACGUUUCUUGAACACCUCCAGGGUGAUGACUCCACCACCUCACUGGGCAGACUGUUCCAGUAUCUGACCACUCUUUUGGAGAACUUUCUCCUAAUAUCCAACUAAACCUCCCCUGGUGCAACUUGAGGCCUCUUGUCAUAUCACAGUUACCUGGGAGAAGAAGGCAGCACCUGCCUCACAACAACCUCUUUUCAGGGAAUUGUAGAUACAGAUCUGGUCUCCCCUCUAGAUUAAAUAAUCCCAGUUUCAUUAGCCACCCCUCAUAAGACUUGUGGUCCAGACUCAUCACAGCUUCACUGUCCUUUCCUCUCUGGACACACCCCAGGGCCUCAGUGCACUUACUGUAAUGGGAAAAUGGAAUACAAUACUCGAGGUGUGGCAUCACUAGAGCUGAGUACAGGGGGAGUAUCACCUCCCUGCUCCUUCUGGCUACAUUAUUUCUUAUACAAGCCAGGAUGCCAUAGGCUUUCUUGGCCAGCUGGGCACACUGCUGGCUCAUCUUCAGCUGAGCACUGACCAACACCUCCAGAUCCUUUUCUUCUGCACAGCUUUCCAGCCACUCUGCCCCAAGCCUGUAGCAUUGCAUGGAGUUAUUAUGAUCUAAGUGCAGAACCUGGUGCUUAGUCUCGUUGAACUUCAUCCCACUGGCCUCUUUCUAAAUUAACCACAAGAUUUUCAAAAGCACUCGGGAUAUUGGGCUGUAUCUCUUAAAAGGUCAUAGAAACCAAAUUUGUAGUCUAAAAUAAGCGAGAAAUUUUUACCCUAAAUACAUAACUAGAAAGUGAUUGUUUUCAUGAAUUGGAAUAUGAUACAAGAUAGCAGAAUUCCUUCUGUUAUUAAAAAAAAGAAAAAAGAAAAUAAUAAACCUUAGCAGUUUUCCUGGAAUAUCCUGAACUUUUCCAAGAGCCUUUCUUUGUGUCCCAGGAUCCAACCACGCCUCAAAAUGGAGUCCUUCUCUGAGCUCUUCCCCAUUUGGGCUUUGUUUACAUCACGCUUCUGGUUACCAGAUCUCUACAGAUAGGUCUUGCACUAAACACUGCUGUUGGGAUGUGAAAGAGAACUCUGCAACUGCCUUAAACAGGUAGCAAAUAUGAAGGGAAACAAAUGAAAGGGAAAAAAGUAUAUCUUGAAUUUAUCUACUUAUGUGAACUAGUUUUUGUAGUGAAAAUUUGCUUGUGUGUUUAGUGAAAGAAUUCAUAUACAAUUAGAUACACAACUAGAUUUUCCUCUUUCUCAGCUACUUGUACCAUUUGGAGUUCUAGAGAAUAUAAAAAUAAAAAUUNNNNNNNNNNNNNNNNNNNNNNNNNNNNNNNNNNNNNNNNNNNNNNNNNNNNNNNNNNNNNNNNNNNNNNNNNNNNNNNNNNNNNNNNNNNNNNNNNNNNCUAUCCACUAUUGACAGUACAGACUGGCAGUGAAGAAGUUGGUGA